CCUUGAGCCCCUGAAGGGUCGUUGUAGACCACGACGUUGAUAGGCUGGGUGUGGAAGUGCAGCAAUGCAUUAAGCUAACCAGUACUAAUUGCCCGUGCGGCUUGACCCUAUAACUUUG
rnacentral:rRNA from 1 species